rnacentral:rRNA from 1 species
CCUACGGGAGGCAGCAGUGAGGAAUAUUGGUCAAUGGCCGGAAGGCUGAACCAGCCAUGCCGCGUGAAGGUCAGUGCCCUAUGGGCGUUAAACUUCUUUUGUGCGGGAGCAAUAAUUGUCACGUGUGGCCAGACGAGAGUACCGUACGAAUAAGCAUCGGCUAACUCCGUGCCAGCAGCCGCGGUAAUACGGGGGAUGCAAGCGUUAUCCGGAUUUAUGGGGGUUUAGGGGUUCGUAGGCUGGGAGGUAAGUCAGCGGUGAAAUGCCCCCGCUCAACGGGGUGAAGUGCCAUUGAUACUGCCUUGCUGGAAUGCGGAUGCGGUGGGAGGAAUGUGUGGUGUAGCGGUGAAAUGCAUAGAUAUCACACAGAACACCGAUUGCGAAGGCAUCUCACGAAUCCGCGAUUGACGCUGAUGCACGAAAGCGUGGGUAGCAAACAGGAUUAGAUACCCUGGUAGUC